UUGAUAACUAUAUCCCAUGAUUGUUAUUUGAAUUAUGACGCAUGAAACUUGUUUAUUUGUGAUGAAGAUGGGAUCUUGUUGCUUGAAGUUAAUAGGAUGCUAAGAGCAGGAGAGUAUUUUGUUUGGGCUGCCCAACCGGUUUAAAAGCACGAAGAAGCUUUAGAAGAACACUGGGAAGAUAUAGUUGAAACAAGUUUCCAUUUAGAUUGAAUUUAUUGAAGCUUUUUAGCUAUAUUUUUAUUGAAUUUAUGUAUUCUUCAGUUAUGUACUUUUCUUGAACUGGCCUGAACAGUCAAUAAGUUAUUGGAGAAGAAGGAUCCAAGUGCAUCUAAGAUUACCAUUCAGCACUCAAGAAGAAAUGACAUGUGCAGGAUGAUUCAACAAAAAGCCUAGUUUCUAAGGCUCUUGUCUCCCAUCCAAUUCUCCAUACAUGGACGACGCCUUUGCUAGAUCUAUUCCGGAGUUAUGUUUGAUUGAUGUGCAUGUAAAUCUGAAAGAUUUGAUCAUAUAGACGCUUAAAGAGGCUUUUGAGGUCUUUUGCAACAAAGGUGUUGCUGGAAACUCUAGUGCAGAACUUCUUGCCACUUUUUGUGAUAACAUUCUCAACAAAGGAUGCUUUCAUUAUUUUAUGGACUUUGGCAGUACAUGUUCAACAAGUUAAAGCUUCAUGUACUCAUUUUAGGGAUUGAAAAGGCUGGCAAAACGACUUUGCUUGAGAAGAUGAAGUCGGUGUAAACGAAUGUAGAAGGUCUUCCUCCUGAUCGAAUUGUGGAAAGUAAUUGCUUCUCCAGGGCGUGGUAUUUUGGCCAUGGAUGAAUCCAAUGCUACAUGUGGAAAGCGGUUGAAUUCAAUUGGACUAGAGAACACCGAAGCUAACCGUCAAGCAUGGCGUAAAAGUAUAUAUGA